ensembl:snoRNA
CCUGCCCAUGGAGGUGUCGCAGUGCAGCUGUUGUGUCACAUGUGAGUCAGUAGGUGGCAGGGAGGAGACACCUUAGGUUUGCUUACUCCCAGUGUUUUGACCUGUGAACAUCUGAAUGAUUAGUAGCCCAACAUU